rnacentral:ncRNA from 1 species
CGUAUGGUGUUUAAGCUUUAGAGCUUAAAUGGCGAUACGGCCGAAAUAAAGGU